rnacentral:rRNA from 1 species
UACGUAGGGGGCGAGCGUUGUCCGGAUUCAUUGGCGUAAAGAGCUCGUAGGCGGUUUGGUAAGUCGGGUGUGAAAACCCCAGGCUCAACCUGGGGACGCCACCUGAUACUGCUAUGACUUGAGUCUGGUAGGGGAUCACGGAAUUCCUGGUGUAGCGGUGAAAUGCGCAGAUAUCAGGAGGAACACCGGUGGCGAAGGCGGUGAUCUGGGCCAGUACUGACGCUGAGGAGCGAAAGCGUGGGUAGCAAACAGG